GGAGAAAUAAGUUAACUUAGUAAACUGUGUGAUUCAUGCUCACGUAAUACGUUUUUCGUUUUCUCCU
rnacentral:tRNA from 1 species